rnacentral:rRNA from 1 species
CCUACGGGUGGCAGCAGUGGGGAAUAUUGCACAAUGGGGGAAACCCUGAUGCAGCAACGCCGCGUGAGUGAGGAAGUAUUUCGGUAUGUAAAGCUCUAUCAGCAGGUGAUAAACAAGCAGUUACCUGAAAAAAAACCCCCGGCUAACUACUUGCCAGCAGCCGCGUUCAUACGAAUGUGACAAGCGUUACCCGGAUUUAUUGGUUGUAAAGGGAGCGUAGCCGGAACGGGAAGUCAGAAGUGAAAACCACAGGCUCAAACAGGGAAAUGCUUUUGAACCUGUCCAACUAGAGUACUGGAGAGGUAAGGGGAAGUGCUAGUGGAGCUGUGAAAUGCGUAGAUAUUAGGAGGAACACCAGUGGCGAAGGCGUCUUGCUGGACCGAAACUGACGUUGAGGCUCGAAAGCGUGGGGAGCAAACAGGAUUAGAUACCCGGGUAGUC